rnacentral:lncRNA from 1 species
GUGGGGUUUUAUAUGAAAUUUGUAAAAAAAAAAGAUAUACGGGGAAACCUUACAAUUUUAAUCUGAUUAAAUCGAGCCUUUAGCUAACGUAUUCCAUACAUAUAGGACAAAACUAGUAUAUUAUUUCUGAUAAGUUUAGUAAAAAAUGCCGAUAUAAAUCUUUCACGGAAACCGCUUUAUCCGGUCCAACAUGAACAUUUUCAAAUUAUCUGAUAAAAAAAUUCUUCCUGAAUCCUGUCCUUUUCUAAAUAACAUAUUUCUCAACCUUAGUAUCAGUUUUGGCUAACAGGAAUACAUUGUUUUGCUAAGGUAUGUAUUUCCUAGUACGUUCUACAUAUUGAACUAUUUUUACGUUCACGAUCUAUUUUUACAUUUUAUACAAAGUGAAAGUAACACCAGUCUUAACAUGCUUAAAAAAAUAAUUGUAUGCAAUUCUUAAGCUUAACUAAACUUAAGUAAUAUUCUGAAAAACUAUUUCUAGUAGUAUAAAACAAAAUUUGUGCUGUAUUGCAUAACUUCGCUACACACAGUGAGACACGCAAAAACAAAAAUAGGUCAAAAGUUAUUCAUAUCAUUGUACCGUUGCAUUUUGAACAAUCUAAAAAGAAACAACAUCACAACUAUACAAUAUUAAACAAAGACCAACCCGUGCUCUAUGUGGAUUUUGUACUAUGUGCGUGCAAUUUAUCUGUUCAUAUCUAUUCAGAAAUUUAGAAAUGUACGUGUUGCGUGUAAUUUAGGUUCAAUGACAUUUCUAUUUAGAAAUU